GGCGGCUUAGCACAGUGGUAGUGCAUCAGUCUUGUAGGCAGUAAUGCUGAGAUAACUGAGGGUCGAGGGUUCAAUUCCCUCAGUCGCCU
rfam:Naegleria gruberi genomic scaffold NAEGRscaffold_16, whole genome shotgun sequence.